rnacentral:rRNA from 1 species
UACAGAGGGGGCAAGCGUUGUCCGGAAUUAUUGGGCGUAAAGAGCUCGUAGGCGGUCUGUCGCGUCGGCUGUGAAAUCCCGAGGCUCAACCUCGGGUCUGCAGUCGAUACGGGCAAACUGGAGUGUUGCAGGGGAGACUGGAAUUCCUGGUGUAGCGGUGAAAUGCGCAGAUAUCAGGAGGAACACCGGUGGCGAAGGCGGGUCUCUGGGCAACAACUGACGCUGAGGAGCGAAAGCGUGGGGAGCGAACAGG